rnacentral:lncRNA from 1 species
GUGGAUCACCCAUCAUGGGAUUGAUCUCACAUGAACUCGCUUAACUUCGAAGUUCCAAUGGAACCCGAAGCCAGUGAGCUCCUAACAAACCUUGUGCUAGGUAGAGAUGUGAAUAUACAUAUAAGGCUUACAUGAUUCACUCUCCUAGACGAUGUGGGAUGUUACAUUUAGUCGAUUACAUUUUUAAACUUUUUAAUUAGGUAAUUUUUCUCUUGAAUUUAAAAUUUAGCCGAUUAUCUCCUCUAAAAAUUUAUAUCUAGCCAAUCUCCCCCAUAGUGUUAGAUUUUAAGAUUUUCCAUCCAAUUUUUCAAUUUUUUGCCCUUAUAUAGUUGUCAUGUGUUGUCUGUGUAAUUAAAAUGGAUGGAAAAUUAGAUGAAAUUUUUUAAAAUCUAACAUAAGAGAAAAUUGACUAUUUAUAAAAGUUCAAGAAGUAAUCGGCUAAAAUUAAAUUUCAAGUGAGAAAUUGGCUCGUUAGAAAAAUUCAUGGAUAAUUAAGUAAAAUUAAAGUUAAGAGAAAAUUGACAACUCCCUAGUAAAUCGGGUGAAAUUGGCUGGUAAGAAAAAUUCAGGGGUUUGGUAAAAUUAAAAGGCCUAAUUUUUUUCGUGAUCUGACAUGCCACUUUCGAUUUGACCCUCUUGGUGAAAAAACUUUUAAUUAAACCCUCGUGAUUGGCCUUGUUAGCAAUUGAGGUCUAAAUCCAAAUUUCCGUUAGUCUUCCAUUAAAUAAACUCAUGUGACUAUCACAUGAAGGAUCAAAUUCGUAAUUUCAAUCCAAUUUACAUCUUAUUCAAUGGACAUAUAGUAUAAUUUAGGGUUUAACUGAAAGUCGCGCAUAAUUUCUUAGGUAUGAUUUAAUUUCUGUUGGAAAUCCUAAUACUUCUAAUAUACCAUUGUUUCUUUUUUCAAUGCCAACACAUCUUUAAUCAUGAGUUAGAGUCUUCGUCUUACUUGAAUUUCAUUCUUGUAUCAAUUGGUACCUGUUUGAAUGCAUAUGCCUUUUAGUUUUGUCUUUAAUUGGUAAUGUGGUUUUAUGCAGGCCUUAGUCGGCGAGUACACAUCGUUCCAAUUUUUUUUCUUAAUCUUCUUUGAAUUGAAGUUCAUAUGGGGAGGGCAAACGUGAAGAUUGAAUUUUCUGCAAUGCCUUUCACCCAUUGUCUUUAAUUCUACAAUGCCUUUCACCCGUCUGAAUGCAUAUAUACUACAUUUCACCCAUUAUCUUUUAACUCUUUUAAGUUAUUAUUGUGCAUAUAUGAUUUUUCUGCAUUAUAUAGGUACAGAUACAUGUGCUAUCAAAUUGGGGUGAUGGUUAGUGACAGCGGAAGAGGUCCACUAGUAGCUAUGGUGGUGGCUGGGAGCUUGAGAUGAGAUACG